rnacentral:snRNA from 1 species
AGUACUUCCCAGGAAUUCUCCUGAGUCAACCCCCGGGGGGGCCCCCCGGGGUGAUACGACAUCCAUCGGGUGUCAAGAUAUUAAACUAAUUUUUGCAGAUAGGUUGUGGUUAGGAAUUUAUUCCGCCCUCGCCACGGGUUGGCCUGCUAUUGCACUAUUUGCAGGAUACGGCCCACUCUUU